CUAAGAAAUACAAUAUGCUCAUGUCUAAUCUUCAGUUGGGUACACAAAUUCAUGGAGAGGCUUAAGGAAGACUGAAGUCACCUUUCAUUCAGGGAUUUGGGAAAAGGUUAUGGCAGCUUUAAUUCAGCAUUAUAGAUAUGUCAAUCUAACUAUGUAUUGCCCCUGAAAGCAUGGCUACUGCAUCCUGCAAGAUUUUGCAGCUGACCUUUUUAGGUUGUUGUUGGACAUCCAGGGCUGAAUGCUGUCAUGAAAUUCUGCUCCUUGGUAGCUCACCAUCCACCGUAAGCUCACCAUCCACUGUAUGUGAAUUGUCCCUAAGUGAGAAAACAGACUGCAGCAGGCCAGUGAACUUUUUGAGAAACUGGCAGACCAGCAGACAUUCUGGCGCCAGCAGGACACCAGUGGGAACUGAAGGUCUUUGUACCAGGAAUAAAACAGUGCUUCUUCCUUGAAGGAGAGGGAGCCUUGGCACUUGGAAAACCCUUGGUAGGAAUUGGGUAGUGAAGCUUGAGGGAAGGGCCUGGAGACUGUGUCGGUACCCUGAUUUCCCGCUGGAGAAUCACCCUCACCCUCACUCAUGGUGGAGCUGGCUCUUCUUCCAGUACUGAAGUAGCUCACUGCCACUUGGCCCAAGGACAACAGUUUCAGAGAUGACAAGGAAAAUCUUCAUUACCAUUUCAAGAACUGGGAACAAAGAAAAAUCCCGUUCCAGGACGCAAAGGAGGAGAUGCGGGUAGCUGAACAGAAACUUUUGAAGAUUACCAUGGGAAUACACCUGUGAACUUCCAGGUUUGAUCUCAGUUACUCCCUUACUUGAAGAAGGCUUCGAUGAUUCCUCAUGGAGAAAUCCCAGAUACUUCUGCACAUGAUUCAGAGGUCCCUUACAACUGGCUUCAGCCUGCCUUCCAAGCCCUGUCUCUCGCCUCUCCCUUCCUUCACACUGUGCUUCAGCGAGAUGCUGUGUUUUUUGCAAAUGGACGGUUUGGGCAACUCUUUGUGGAGCAAGUCUAUCGGUGCCAUUUUCCCAACAACAUGGAUUCACUUCAUGUCUCUGAGUCACAUUUUGGCUGGAGUGUGGUGGCGUGAUCUUGGUUCACUGCAACCU
rnacentral:lncRNA from 1 species